GAUGAACGCUGGCGGCGUGCCUAAUACAUGCAAGUCGAGCGAACAGAUGAGGAGCUUGCUCCUCUGACGUUAGCGGCGGACGGGUGAGUAACACGUGGAUAACCUACCUAUAAGACUGGGAUAACUUCGGGAAACCGGAGCUAAUACCGGAUAAUAUAUUGAACCGCAUGGUUCAAUAGUGAAAGACGGUUUUGCUGUCACUUAUAGGUGGAUCCGCGCCGCAUUAGCUAGUUGGUAAGGUAACGGCUUACCAAGGCAACGAUGCGUAGCCGACCUGAGAGGGUGAUCGGCCACACUGGAACUGAGACACGGUCCAGACUCCUACGGGAGGCAGCAGUAGGGAAUCUUCCGCAAUGGGCGAAAGCCUGACGGAGCAACGCCGCGUGAGUGAUAAAGGUCUUCGGAUCGUAAAACUCUGUUAUUAGGGAAGAACAAAUGUGUAAGUAACUAUGCACGUCUUGACGGUACCUAAUCAGAAAGCCACGGCUAACUACGUG
rnacentral:rRNA from 1 species